rnacentral:lncRNA from 1 species
UCUUUCAGGACUCUGGAGAAGAUCAAAUGGGAGCUUAGAUGUGGAAGCUCUUUGGAAACCAAGAAACACUCUGAAAAUGAAAAGGCAUAAGAAUGUUUAUCACAGCAUGGCAUAUAUUGGAAGUUUAGUAAAUGAAGAUACAUCCAAUCUGACAUUCUAUUCACAACCACAAAGAGAUAAUGUAGAAACAUAUUUAGUAAUGUGAGAAAAUACUAAAUAUUAAGUGAAAAAGGUGGAAGAGUAAACUGUUCCUGUUUCUCCAUCUUGACAGGAAGCAGAAGUUCUCCUUAGCUGAUUUUUCUUCUUGCCUUAUACUGGGUUCUUUAACACCAGAACAAAAAUAAAUAAAUAAAAGAAUCUUCCAGAAAUUCAUGAAGAGACUUCAGGUCAGGAAAGCCUGAACUUUCUCAUCCAACACCCGUUCAAGUCGGAGGAUGCUGAUUAAUUCAUGAUGGAAAGGUAUCAAUUUCACAGCCCAGACCUCUACAUUCUUGAAAUGCUCUUCUCAUGGGAGACAUUAAAUAAGCUUUGAAUUAACUG